rnacentral:rRNA from 1 species
GUGGGGAAUAUUGGACAAUGGGCGAAAGCCUGAUCCAGCCAUGCCGCGUGUGUGAAGAAGGUCUUCGGAUUGUAAAGCACUUUAAGUUGGGAGGAAGGGCAGUAAGUUAAUACCUUGCUGUUUUGACGUUACCGACAGAAUAAGCACCGGCUAACUUCGUGCCAGCAGCCGCGGUAAUACGAAGGGUGCAAGCGUUAAUCGGAAUUACUGGGCGUAAAGCGCGCGUAGGUGGUUUUGUAAGUUGGAGGUGAAAUCCCCGGGCUCAACCUGGGAACUGCAUUUGUGACUGUAUAGCUAGAGUACGGUAGAGGGUAGUGGAAUUUCCUGUGUAGCGGUGAAAUGCGUAGAUAUAGGAAGGAACACCAGUGGCGAAGGCGACUACCUGGACUGAUACUGACACUGAGGUGCGAAAGCGUGGGGAGCAAACAGGAUUAGAUACCCUAGUAGUCC